GCAAUUGCUAAAUAAGCUCCCCACAUCUCAUUUUCACACUUCCUCCAACCAAGUGCUGAGUUUCUAACCUUCCUAUCGAUGAGGAGAACUCGUGAGCUUGGCUAAGAUGACAGUAACACAAAACUAUCUUUUAUUUGCUAAAGAUUAUUCCUUUUGUGAGAUGAGAGAAGAGAUGACUGAGGUGUCAGAAUAACACUGAUCUUUUUCCUUUCUUUCUUCCUCAUCAGAAGAAUAAGACAGAGCCUAGAAAAUUGCUGCAUUUAAGAGCCAUUUCUUGCCAUUGCUUUAAAUGUCCCCCUCCCCUUAUUUUCAUUGCACUUGAAAUUUCCUCUGCAGGGAAUUCCACUCUAGGCUCAAGAAGACAUCUGGCAGCAGUGAGGGGCGAGACCUGCCUUGUGGACAGUUGCUGUGAGAUUCCAAAGUCAUCUGAAGCGGAUUUGCCAAAUCAACUUUCAAACUGAGAAAAGGAGUCCUCCUACAGUUGAUUCGAGCAUACAAUAAAUUGCAUGUAGUGUAAGGACUGA